rnacentral:rRNA from 1 species
CAGUCGAACGCUGAAGCUCCAGCUUGCUGGAGUGGAUGAGUGGCGAACGGGUGAGUAACACGUGAGUAACCUUCCCUUGACUCUGGGAUAAGCCCGGGAAACUGGGUCUAAUACCGGAUACGACCUCCUGUCGCAUGGUGGGGGGUGGAAAGAUUUAUCGGUCUUGGAUGGACUCGCGGCCUAUCAGCUUGUUGGUGAGGUAAUGGCUCACCAAGGCGACGACGGGUAGCCGGCCUGAGAGGGUGACCGGCCACACUGGGACUGAGACACGGCCCAGACUCCUACGGGAGGCAGCAGUGGGGAAUAUUGCACAAUGGGCGCAAGCCUGAUGCAGCGACGCCGCGUGAGGGAUGACGGCCUUCGGGUUGUAAACCUCUUUCAGUAGGGAAGAAGCCUUCGGGUGACGGUACCUGCAGAAGAAGCGCCGGCUAACUACGUGCCAGCAGCCGCGGUAAUACGUAGGGCGCGAGCGUUAUCCGGAAUUAUUGGGCGUAAAGAGCUCGUAGGCGGUUUGUCGCGUCUGCCGUGAAAGUCCGGGGCUUAACCCCGGAUCUGCGGUGGGUACGGGCAGACUAGAGUGCAGUAGGGGAGACCGGAAUUCCUGGUGUAGCGGUGAAAUGCGCAGAUAUCAGGAGGAACACCGAUGGCGAAGGCAGGUCUCUGGGCUGUUACUGACGCUGAGGAGCGAAAGCAUGGGGAGCGAACAGGAUUAGAUACCCUGGUAGUCCAUGCCGUAAACGUUGGGCACUAGGUGUGGGGGACAUUCCACGUUUUCCGCGCCGCAGCUAACGCAUUAAGUGCCCCGCCUGGGGAGUACGGCCGCAAGGCUAAAACUCAAAGGAAUUGACGGGGGCCCGCACAAGCGGCGGAGCAUGCGGAUUAAUUCGAUGCAACGCGAAGAACCUUACCAAGGCUUGACAUGUUCUCGAUCGCCACAGAGAUGUGGUUUCCCCUUUGGGGCGGGUUCACAGGUGGUGCAUGGUUGUCGUCAGCUCGUGUCGUGAGAUGUUGGGUUAAGUCCCGCAACGAGCGCAACCCUCGUUCCAUGUUGCCAGCGGGUUAUGCCGGGGACUCAUGGGAGACUGCCGGGGUCAACUCGGAGGAAGGUGGGGACGACGUCAAAUCAUCAUGCCCCUUAUGUCUUGGGCUUCACGCAUGCUACAAUGGCCGGUACAAUGGGUUGCGAUACUGUGAGGUGGAGCUAAUCCCAAAAAGCCGGUCUCAGUUCGGAUUGGGGUCUGCAACUCGACCCCAUGAAGUCGGAGUCGCUAGUAAUCGCAGAUCAGCAACGCUGCGGUGAAUACGUUCCCGGGCCUUGUACACACCGCCCGUCAAGUCACGAAAGUCGGUAACACCCGAAGCCGGUGGCCCAACCC